rnacentral:rRNA from 1 species
UGGCGAGGAUCCAAGCGUUAUCCGGAAUCAUUGGGUUUAAAGGGUCCGUAGGCGGUUUGGUAAGUCAGUGGUGAAAGCCCAUCGCUCAACGGUGGAACGGCCAUUGAUACUGCCAGACUUGAAUUAUUAGGAAGUAACUAGAAUAUGUAGUGUAGCGGUGAAAUGCUUAGAGAUUACAUGGAAUACCAAUUGCGAAGGCAGGUUACUACUAAUGGAUUGACGCUGAUGGACGAAAGCGUGGGUAGCGAACAGG